AACGCGAAGAACCUUACCAGCCCUUGACAUCCCGGUCGCGGUUUCCAGAGAUGGAUACCUUCAGUUCGGCUGGACCGGUGACAGGUGCUGCAUGGCUGUCGUCAGCUCGUGUCGUGAGAUGUUGGGUUAAGUCCCGCAACGAGCGCAACCCUCGCCCUUAGUUGCCAGCAUUCAGUUGGGCACUCUAAGGGGACUGCCGGUGAUAAGCCGAGAGGAAGGUGGGGAUGACGUCAAGUCCUCAUGGCCCUUACGGGCUGGGCUACACACGUGCUACAAUGGUGGUGACAGUGGGCAGCGAGACCGCGAGGUCGAGCUAAUCUCCAAAAGCCAUCUCAGUUCGGAUUGCACUCUGCAACUCGAGUGCAUGAAGUUGGAAUCGCUAGUAAUC
rnacentral:rRNA from 1 species